GAUGAACGCUAGCGGCAGGCCUAAUACAUGCAAGUCGAACGGUGUCUUCGGACAUAGUGGCGCACGGGUGCGUAACACGUAUGCAACCUACCUUACAUUGGGGGAUAGCCUUUCGAAAGGGAGAUUAAUACCGCAUAAGACAGUAGCUGGGCAUCCAGCAGCUGUUAAAGAUUUAUCGAUGUAAGCUGGGCAUGCGUCCAAUUAGCUAGUUGGUGAGGUAACGGCUCACCAAGGCAAUGAUUGGUAGGGGAACUGAGAGGUCAAUCCCCCACACCGGCACUGGGAUACGGGCCAGACCCCUACGGGAGGCAGCAGUAGGGAAUAUUGGGCAAUGGACGCAAGUCUGACCCAGCCAUGCCGCGUGCAGGAUGAAGGCGUUAUGCGUUGUAAACUGCUUUUAUACAGGAAGAAACGACUCUUGCGAGAGGCAUUGACGGUACUGUAUGAAUAAGCACCGGCUAACUCCGUGCCAGCCGCCGCCGUAACAC
rnacentral:rRNA from 1 species